CCGCCGCCGCUGCUGCCGGAAGUGACGUCCGGAAGGCUCGAGCUGAGGCGAUCCCAGCGGCCUCCCUUCUGAGGUGACAUUUUUUUUCUCUCCUCCGCUCACCGCCACCUUCCUCCGGCUCCUUCUUUUCGGUCCCUCCUGCCCGGGCCGAGGAAGCGGCGCCGGCCACGCCGGGGGAGGAGAGAGGAGGAGGAGCCCCGGCCCCUCAUGCUCCAGCUGGCCCUUCCCGCGGGGCCUCAGGCCGGGGAGAGCCUCAGAGGCCGCGGCGGCGACGACUCCGAGAAUUUGGUGGGAAACAGCCAGAAUGACAACUUUGGACACUCAAGUCUUCUGUCGACAGAGCAGUGACAGCCGAGGCUGAAAAGUUGCUUUCCUGCUGAAGCCCUAGGUGAGGUUGCCCUUCCCCAAGGCUCUGGGUCUAUCCUCUGAGACCAGGAGAGACUUAAAACUUUGAAAUGAAGAUGGAGGCGGCGGACAGAACAGAAGAACUCCUCCACUCAGAAAUCCCACCCAAACUCACCGAGAAGCCGGAGCCAGCGCUAGGGGAAGAGGGAUCUAUAGAACUGGACCUGCCUGCCCCGAAGGAGAGCCGGGCGCCCGGCGAGGAUUCCACCGUGCUCGCCUCCAUGCCUUGCUUGCUGAUGGAGCUGAGGCGGGACUCGUCCGAAUCUCAACUGGCCUCGACGGAAAGCGACAAGCCGACGGCCGGCCGCAUCUACGAGAGUGACUCUUCCAAUCACUGCAUGCUGUCCCCUUCGUCCAGCGGCCACUUGGCCGACUCCGACACGCUUUCCUCGGCCGAAGAGGCCGCCCCCGGCCAAGCCGAGACGGCGGCGGUCGAGGGGGAUCCCUCCGCCGUCUCCCUGUCGACUCCGGCGAGGAAAUCCAGGCGGUCCCGGUCGGAGAGCGAAACCUCCUCCGCCAUGGCCGCCAAGAAGAACCGGCAGUCGAGCGACAAGCAGAACGGCCGGGUGGCUAAGGCGAAAGGUCACCGGAGCCAGAAGCACAAGGAGCGCAUCCGGCUGCUGAGGCAGAAGCGGGAGGCCGCCGCCCGCAAGAAGUACAACCUGCUGCAGGACAGCAGUACCAGCGACAGCGACCUCACCUGCGACUCCAGCACCAGCUCCUCGGAGGACGACGACGAAGUUUCGGGGAGCAGCAAGACAAUCACGGCAGAGAUACCAGCUGGCUUCCGUCGUGCUGGGGGAUCUGAAGGAGCGGCCGGGGAAACCCCUGGAUUGCUUGACAGGGGCACCGUGUGGGAUAGGAACUGCAUAGGCAGCGUCCUGGAAGAGGCCAUGAACUGCUUUGCCGAGAUGCAGAGGCAGACGGAGGAGAAGUUCCGCAUGUGGAUAGAAAAACUCACCCGCCUGGACACCGACGAAGAAGGCAAGCAGCAGCUGGAGUCCACGGGGGCCAAAGGGCCCUUAGAUGGCCAAAGACCCGCCUCCACGCCCCAGGCGGGGAUUUUUAUGCAGGUGCCGGAUAGCCAAGGACUUCCGCCGCAGCCCUUUAACUCGUCUUACGCCAGCUGUCAAAAUGCCGAGAUGGCUUCAGAGGCGCCAGAGACCUUGAAUAACAAUUUUCCAGCUCUCUUCCCCGAAAACGGGAAUAUUGUGGAAUCCAGCUUGAACCCGUCGCCAACUUGACGAGAUCCUCCAGCAGCUGCAGUUAACCCAGAUCUCAGCGGGGAAAAAGCUUGACCGUUGUAAACAAAUACACCAUUUUUUUUUUGGGUACCCCCCUUUAGGCUUUUUAGCAGAGUUUGCUUUUUCCUGGUCACCUUCUUGAGAAAACAGACGUUAUUCGGGUUUUUUCUUUUCCCCACCGGGAUGCUCUUCCUGACUUUUUCCAUCAGCAGAGCGUACACCUUCGCAACCUUUUUUUUUUGGUGUGUCUUAAGUUGUAGGGCCACUCCAUGUAUCCCUCAUCUCCUUUUGCAUGCCAGAACUGUUUAUUUGUGAAAAGAAAAACAAAACAAAAAAAAAAACAGAAUUGAAAUGGAAAGACUCGUGUACCAAAUCAGUGUGUCCUGUAAAUAUUUUCUUAAAAACAAAUGCUAAGUGUGCAUCUUAAAACAGAAUUAUAUACUGCUUGCCAUGUUUGGUUCCUCCAUCCCUUAGGGCAGAAAUGGGCUGAUUUGUGAAUUGGAAAGUUUUUUUUUUGGUAAACCAUUCACUGUUCUCAUUCGCUUUCAUUCAAGUUUUUAUAUUCACGGUAUUUAUGUUGAGAAACACUGGUUUAGAGGAAUCUUACGUUUUGUAAAAAAAAAAACAAAACUGACUAAUCCUAAUAGCCAGAAUUGGAGAGAGAAAAAAUAAUAGAUCUAUCUCUCCAAGGGUUAAAUUGAUUUGGGAAAAUGGAAUGAAAGAGAUUAAGUGAAUGUUUACCAUAGAAGCAUGCUUAACAACAUAUACCACCUGUCAAAACAGAAUAAUUUGUCGGUGUGGACGUGUUUCGUACAAUCAAACUGUAAUUUUAUGCUAUCCAUUCUGGACUAUGUUGUGAAAUAAUAGCGGGACUAGUCUUGAAAUUUGGCCAGGUGUAAAUUACAGAUGGAAAGGAGUUGUCAUUUGCAGCCCGUAAAAUAUGAUCAGCCACUCAUGAAGGAAUUCAUAACAUGAUCAUUUUGAUUGCUUUUCUUUUAGUCAACGUCUUUUUGUGCUCCAUAACAAGUUCCUUCCCUGCUUUUCUAAUCUUGAUGCCAAAUGACAGUUUGAACGAUUCAAGCAUUAACAAAUGUUAUCUUCCUCCUUCUGUGGUGUGGUUUAUGAUUGACAUCUUGGGUUGUUUUCCCGGUACCUGCAUUGGGUUCCACGUUGGUUCAAAUAAUGGUAAAAAUGUGGACUCUUAAACCCACUUAGGGUAAAUUAUCAGGGACACUUCUAUCUAUACAUUUAAGGCAGGGCUGUCCAAAUUUGGCAACUUUUAA